UGUGAACUCGAAGAGUAGGGCGGGACACGUGGUAUCCUGUCUGAAUAUGGGGGGACCAUCCUCCAAGGCUAAAUACUCCUGACUGACCGAUAGUGAACCAGUACCGUGAGGGAAAGGCGAAAAGAACCCCGGCGAGGGGAGUGAAAAAGAACCUGAAACCGUGUACGUACAAGCAGUGGGAGCACCUUCGGGUGUGACUGCGUACCUUUUGUAUAAUGGGUCAGCGACUUAUAUUCUGUAGCAAGGUUAACCGUAUAGGGGAGCCGCAGGGAAACCGAGUCUUAACUGGGCGUUAAGUUGCAGGGUAUAGACCCGAAACCCGGUGAUCUAGCCAUGGGCAGGUUGAAGGUUGGGUAACACUAACUGGAGGACCGAACCGACUAAUGUUGAAAAAUUAGCGGAUGACUUGUGGCUGGGGGUGAAAGGCCAAUCAAACCGGGAGAUAGCUGGUUCUCCCCGAAAGCUAUUUAGGUAGCGCCUCGUGAACUCAUCUUCGGGGGUAGAGCACUGUUUCGGCUAGGGGGUCAUCCCGACUUACCAACCCGAUGCAAACUACGAAUACCGAAGAAUGUUAUCACGGGAGACACACGGCGGGUGCUAACGUCCGUCGUGAAGAGGGAAACAACCCAGACCGCCAGCUAAGGUCCCAAAGUCAUGGUUAAGUGGGAAACGAUGUGGGAAGGCACAGACAGCCAGGAUGUUGGCUUAGAAGCAGCCAUCAUUUAAAGAAAGCGUAAUAGCUCACUGGUCGAGUCGGCCUGCGCGGAAGAUGUAACGGGGCUAAACCAUGCACCGAAGCUGCGGCAGCGACACUAUGUGUUGUUGGGUAGGGGAGCGUUCUGUAAGCCUGCGAAGGUGACCUGUGAGGGUUGCUGGAGGUAUCAGAAGUGCGAAUGCUGACAUAAGUAACGAUAAAGCGGGUGAAAAGCCCGCUCGCCGGAAGACCAAGGGUUCCUGUCCAACGUUAAUCGGGGCAGGGUGAGUCGACCCCUAAGGCGAGGCCGAAAGGCGUAGUCGAUGGGAAACAGGUUAAUAUUCCUGUACUUGGUGUUACUGCGAAGGGGGGACGGAGAAGGCUAUGUUAGCCGGGCGACGGUUGUCCCGGUUUAAGCAUGUAGGCUGGUUAUCCAGGCAAAUCCGGAUAAUCAAGGCUGAGGUGUGAUGACGAGGCACUACGGUGCUGAAGUAACAAAUGCCCUGCUUCCAGGAAAAGCCUCUAAGCAUCAGGUAACAUCAAAUCGUACCCCAAACCGACACAGGUGGUCAGGUAGAGAAUACCAAGGCGCUUGAGAGAACUCGGGUGAAGGAACUAGGCAAAAUGGUGCCGUAACUUCGGGAGAAGGCACGCUGGUGUGUAGGUGAAGUCCCUGCGGAUGGAGCUGAGACCAGUCGAAGAUACCAGCUGGCUGCAACUGUUUAUUAAAAACACAGCACUGUGCAAACACGAAAGUGGACGUAUACGGUGUGACGCCUGCCCGGUGCCGGAAGGUUAAUUGAUGGGGUUAUCCGUAAGGAGAAGCUCUUGAUCGAAGCCCCGGUAAACGGCGGCCGUAACUAUAACGGUCCUAAGGUAGCGAAAUUCCUUGUCGGGUAAGUUCCGACCUGCACGAAUGGCGUAAUGAUGGCCAGGCUGUCUCCACCCGAGACUCAGUGAAAUUGAACUCGCUGUGAAGAUGCAGUGUACCCGCGGCAAGACGGAAAGACCCCGUGAACCUUUACUAUAGCUUGACACUGAACAUUGAGCCUUGAUGUGUAGGAUAGGUGGGAGGCUUUGAAGCGUAGACGCCAGUCUGCGUGGAGCCAACCUUGAAAUACCACCCUUUAAUGUUUGAUGUUCUAACGUUGGCCCCUGACCGGGGUUGCGGACAGUGUCUGGUGGGUAGUUUGACUGGGGCGGUCUCCUCCCAAAGCGUAACGGAGGAGCACGAAGGUUAGCUAAUCCUGGUCGGACAUCAGGAGGUUAGUGCAAUGGCAUAAGCUAGCUUGACUGCGAGCGUGACGGCGCGAGCAGGUGCGAAAGCAGGUCAUAGUGAUCCGGUGGUUCUGAAUGGAAGGGCCAUCGCUCAACGGAUAAAAGGUACUCCGGGGAUAACAGGCUGAUACCGCCCAAGAGUUCAUAUCGACGGCGGUGUUUGGCACCUCGAUGUCGGCUCAUCACAUCCUGGGGCUGAAGUAGGUCCCAAGGGUAUGGCUGUUCGCCAUUUAAAGUGGUACGCGAGCUGGGUUUAGAACGUCGUGAGACAGUUCGGUCCCUAUCUGCCGUGGGCGCUGGAGAAUUGAGGGGGGCUGCUCCUAGUACGAGAGGACCGGAGUGGACGCAUCACUGGUGUUCGGGUUGUCAUGCCAAUGGCACUGCCCGGUAGCUAAAUGCGGAAGAGAUAAGUGCUGAAAGCAUCUAAGCACGAAACUUGCCCCGAGAUGAGUUCUCCCUGAGACUUUAAGUCUCCUGAAGGAACGUUGAAGACGACGACGUUGAUAGGCCGGGUGUGUAAGCGCAGCGAUGCGUUGAGCUAACCGGUACUAAUGAACCGUGAGGCUUAACCUU
rnacentral:rRNA from 1 species